CCUGGCAGAGGCCACUGCUAUCGGGGUUUGACUAAGCCAUGCGAGUCGAGAGGUGUAAGACCUCGGCGUACUGCUCAGUAACACGUGGACAAUCUGCCCUGAAGUGGAGGAUAAUCCCGGGAAACUGGGGGUAAUACUCCAUAGUUCGUGCUGACUGGAAUGUUAUGCGAACGAAAGAUCCGUCGCUUCAGCAUGAGUCUGCGGCCGAUUAGGUAGUUGUUGGGGUAACGGCCCAACAAGCCUGUCAUCGGUACGGGUUGUGGGAGCAAGAGCCCGGAGAGGGAUUCUGAGACACGAAUCCAGGCCCUACGGGGCGCAGCAGGCGCGAAAACUUUACCAUGCGGGCAACCGUGAUAAGGAAACCCCGAGUGCCAGCACAGGCUGGCUGUCCGCCAGUGUAAAUAACUGGUGAAGAAAGGGCCGGGCAAGACCGGUGCCAGCCGCCGCGGUAAUACCGGCGGCUCGAGUGGUGGCCACUAUUACUGGGCUUAAAGGGUCCGUAGCUUGAUAUGCAAGUCUCUUGAGAAAUCCGCCAGCUUAACUGGUGGGCGUUCAGGGGAAACUGCAUUUCUAGGGACCGGGAGAGGUGAGAGGUACUGCCGGGGUAGGAGUGAAAUCCUGUAAUCCCGGUGGGACCACCUAUGGCGAAGGCAUCUCACCAGAACGGGUCCGACAGUGAGGGACGAAAGCUGGGGGAGCAAACCGGAUUAGAUACCCGGGUAGUCCCAGCUGUAAACGAUGCGCGUUAGGUGUGUCAGUGACCACGUGUCACUG
rnacentral:rRNA from 1 species